GACGCGAAAAACCUGUGGAUAACGCGUCUGCCUACGGAGCAGAAGAUUGUAGGUUCGAAUCCUGCCGUGGUCG
rnacentral:tRNA from 1 species